ACGGCUCAGUAACACGUGGACAACCUGCCCAAAGGUCCGGGAUAACCCCGGGAAACUGGGGAUAAUACCGGAUAAAUCACGAGUACUGGAAGGUUUUGUGGUUGAAACUUCCGGGGCCUUUGGAUGGGUCUGCGGCGGAUUAGGUUGUUGCCGGUGUAACGUACCGUCAAGCCUGUAAUCCGUACGGGUUGUGGGAGCAAGAGCCCGGAGAUGGAUUCUGAGACACGAAUCCAGGCCCUACGGGGCGCAGCAGGCGCGAAAACUCUACAAUGCAGGCAACUGCGAUAGGGGAACAUCGAGUGAUACUCAUAUUGGGUGUCUGUCCCACCGUCUAAAAAACGGUGGUUAGCAAGGGCCGGGCAAGACCGGUGCCAGCCGCCGCGGUAAUACCGGCGGCUCGAGUGGUGGCCGAUAUUAUUGAGUCUAAAGGGUCCGUAGCCGGCUUUGCAAGUCUUUUGGGAAAUCCAGCGGCUUAACCGUUGGUCGUCCGGGAGAUACUACAUUGCUUGGGACUGGGAGAGGUAGGAGGUACUCAGGGGGUAGGAGUGAAAUCCUGUAAUCCUUUGGGGACCACCGGUGGCGAAGGCGUCCUACCAGAACAGGUCCGACGGUGAGGGACGAAAGCUAGGGGCACGAACCGGAUUAGAUACCCGGGUAGUCCUAGCCGUAAACGAUGCUCGCUAGGUGUCACAACAAUCGUGAAUUGUUGUGGUGCCGUAGGGAAGCCGUGAAGCGAGCCACUUGGGAAGUACGACCGCAAGGUUGAAACUUAAAGGAAUUGGCGGGGGAGCAC
rnacentral:rRNA from 1 species